GAGUGUGUUUGAAACUGAAUCAAUAUUUGCUCUAUCAAACUCAGCCUCAUCUUCUAGAUUAAUCUCUAAUAAUGCUGCUGAGAUAGGAGCAACAUCUACCUAUCAUCCUUUGCUUCAUCCUCCUAAGUGCUACUAAGAGAAUGGCAUCAAUAUUUGCACCAUCCUCCUCAGCCUCAUCUUCACUCUCCUUAGGGUUUAGGCAACCUACAUCGACUC
rnacentral:lncRNA from 1 species